CUUUAAUGGAGAGUUUGAUCCUGGCUCAGGACGAACGCUGGCGGCAUGCCUAAUACAUGCAAGUCGAGCGGAGUUGACGAGAAGCUUGCUUCUUUGAUGC
rnacentral:rRNA from 1 species